rnacentral:rRNA from 1 species
AUUGAACGCUGGCGGCAUGCCUUACACAUGCAAGUCGAACGGCAGCACGGGGGCAACCCUGGUGGCGAGUGGCGAACGGGUGAGUAAUGCAUCGGAACGUGCCCAGUAGUGGGGGAUAACCAGUCGAAAGGCUGGCUAAUACCGCAUACGACCUACGGGUGAAAGCGGGGGACCGUAAGGCCUCGCGCUAUUGGAGCGGCCGAUGUCUGAUUAGCUAGUUGGCGGGGAAAGAGCCCACCAAGGCGACGAUCAGUAGCUGGUCUGAGAGGACGACCAGCCACACUGGGACUGAGACACGGCCCAGACUCCUACGGGAGGCAGCAUUGGGGAAUUUUGGACAAUGGGCGCAAGCCUGAUCCAGCCAUGCCGCGUGCGGGAAGAAGGCCUUCGGGUUGUAAACCGCUUUUGGCAGGAACGAAACGGCGCAAGCCAAUACCUUGCGCUAAUGACGGUACCUGCAGAAUAAGCACCGGCUAACUACGUGCCAGCCGCCGCAGUAACAC